rnacentral:rRNA from 1 species
GAUGAACGCUGGCGGCGUGCUUAACACAUGCAAGUCGAACGAUGAAGCUCAGCUUGCUGGGUGGAUUAGUGGCGAACGGGUGAGUAACACGUGAGUAACCUGCCCUUAACUCUGGGAUAAUCCUGGGAAACUAGGUCUAAUACCGGAUAGGAGCGCCUACCGCAUGGUGGGUGUUGGAAAGUGUUUUCGGUUUUGGAUGGACUCGCGGCCUCUCAGCUUGUUGGGGAGGUCUUGGCUGUCCAAGGCGACGACGGGUAGCCGGCCUGGGAGGGUGACCGGCCACACGGAGACUGCGACAAUGCCCACACCCAUACGGGAAUCAGCAGUGGGGAAUAUUGCAGAAUGGGAGGAGGCGUAAUGUAGCGACGCGGCGUCGGGGAGACCGGUCUUCGGGUUGUAAGCCACUUUCAGUAGGAAAGAAGCGAAAGUGACAGUACCUGCAGAAGUAGUACCGGCUAACUACGUG